rnacentral:rRNA from 1 species
AGAGUAACGCCGCGUGGAGGAUGAAGGCCUUCGGGUUGUAAACUCCUUUUCUGGGGAAGAGUAGAAGACGGUACCCCAGGAAGAAGCCUCGGCUAACUACGUGC